GAUGGGCGCGGUGGCUCACGCCUGUAAUCCCAACACUUUGGGAGGCUGAGGCAGGCAGAUCAUGAGGUCAGGAGAUCGAGACCAUCCUGGCUAACACGGUGAAACCCCGUCUCUACUAAAAAUACAAAAAAUUAGCCUGACUAGGUGGUGGGCGCCUGUAGUCCCAGCUACUCGGGAGGCUGAGGNNNNNNNNNNCCUCAGCCUCCCGAGUAGCUGGGACUACAGGCGCCCACCACCUAGUCAGGCUAAUUUUUUGUAUUUUUAGUAGAGACGGGGUUUCACCGUGUUAGCCAGGAUGGUCUCGAU
rfam:Gorilla gorilla gorilla genomic chromosome, chr6, whole genome shotgun sequence